GACGAACGCUGGCGGCGUGCCUAAUACAUGCAAGUUGAGCGCUGAAGGUUGGUACUUGUACCCACUGGAUGAGCAGCGAACGGGUGAGUAACGCGUGGGGAAUCUGCCUUUGAGCGGGGGACAACAUUUGGAAACGAAUGCUAAUACCGCAUAAAAACUUUAAACACAAGUUUUAAGUUUGAAAGAUGCAAUUGCAUCACUCAAAGAUGAUCCCGCGUUGUAUUAGCUAGUUGGUGAGGUAAAGGCUCACCAAGGCGAUGAUACAUAGCCGACCUGAGAGGGUGAUCGGCCACAAUGGGACUGAGACACGGCCCAAACUCCUACGGGAGGCAGCAGUAGGGAAUCGUCGGCAAUGGACGAAAGUCUGACCGAGCAACGCCGCGGGAGGGAAGAAGGUUUUCGGAUCGUAAAACUCUGUUGGUAGAGAAGAAAGUUGGUGAGAGUGGAAAGCUCAUCAAGUGACGGUAACUACCCAGAAAGGGACGGCUAACUGCGUG
rnacentral:rRNA from 1 species